rnacentral:rRNA from 1 species
UACGGAGGGGGCUAGCGUUGUUCGGAAUUACUGGGCGUAAAGCGCACGUAGGCGGCUUUGUAAGUUAGAGGUGAAAGCCCAGGGCCUAACCCUGGAAUUGCCUUUAAGACUGCAUCGCUAGAAUCGUGGAGAGGUGAGUGGAAUUCCGAGUGUAGAGGUGAAAUUCGUAGAUAUUCGGAAGAACACCAGUGGCGAAGGCGACUCACUGGACACGUAUUGACGCGUGAGGUGCGAAAGCGUGGGGAGCAAACAGG